GAUGAACGCUGGCGGCGUGCCUAAUACAUGCAAGUCGAGCGAACAGACGAGGAGCUUGCUCCUUUGACGUUAACGGCGGACGGGUGAGUAACACGUGGAUAACCUACCUAUAAGACUGGGAUAACUUCGGGAAACCGGAGCUAAUACCGGAUAACAUGUUGAACCGCAUGGUUCAACAGUGAAAGACGGUCUUGCUGUCACUUAUAGAUGGAUCCGCGCCGCAUUAGCUAGUUGGUAAGGUAACGGCUUACCAAGGCAACGAUGCGUAGCCGACCUGAGAGGGUGAACGGCCACACUGGAACUGAGACACGGUCCAGACUCCUACGGGAGGCAGCAGUAGGGAAUCUUCCGCAAUGGGCGAAAGCCUGACGGAGCAACGCCGCGUGAGUGAAGAAGGUCUUCGGAUCGUAAAACUCUGUUAUUAUGGAAGAACAAAUGUGUAAGUAACUAUGCACGUCUUGACGGUACCUAAUCAGAAAGCCACGGCUAACUACGUG
rnacentral:rRNA from 1 species